rnacentral:rRNA from 1 species
AUUGAACGCUGGCGGCAGGCCUAACACAUGCAAGUCGAACGGUAACAGGAAACAGCUUGCUGUUUCGCUGACGAGUGGCGGACGGGUGAGUAAUGUCUGGGAAACUGCCUGAUGGAGGGGGAUAACUACUGGAAACGGUAGCUAAUACCGCAUAACGUCGCAAGACCAAAGAGGGGGACCCUCGGGCCUCUUGCCAUCGGAUGUGCCCAGAUGGGAUUAGCUUGUUGGUGGGGUAACGGCUCACCAAGGCGACGAUCCCUAGCUGGUCUGAGAGGAUGACCAGCCACACUGGAACUGAGACACGGUCCAGACUCCUACGGGAGGCAGCAGUGGGGAAUAUUGCACAAUGGGCGCAAGCCUGAUGCAGCCAUGCCGCGUGUAUGAAGAAGGCCUUCGGGUUGUAAAGUACUUUCAUCGGGGAGGAAGGGAGUAAAGUUAAUACCUUUGCUCAUUGACGUUACCCGCAGAAGAAGCACCGGCUAACUCCGUG